UUAAGUUCAGCGGGUAAUCCUACCUGAUUUGAGGUCUAAAUCAAAAAUGACUAGAGGGAUUAGAAGCUUCUCUUGUAUUGAACACGGCCACCAAUUGCUUGGUGUCCCCAGCGAAUAGUCUAUUACACUGAGUCAAUCCGAGUUCGAAUUAGAAAUGCUAAUGUAUUACGAACGAGCUUCGCUUCAAAAGAAGCCAGCAA
rnacentral:misc_RNA from 1 species